rnacentral:tRNA from 1 species
AUUAUAGUUGAUAAACAACAUAGCUUUUUCAAAACUAAAGAGCACAUAAAUGCUAUA